UGGGGAAUAUUGCACAAUGGGCGCAAGCCUGAUGCAGCCAUGCCGCGUGUAUGAAGAAGGCCUUCGGGUUGUAAAGUACUUUCAGUCGGGAGGAAGGUGGUAAGGUUAAUAACCUUAUCAAUUGACGUUACCGACAGAAGAAGCACCGGCUAACUCCGUGCCAGCAGCCGCGGUAAUACGGAGGGUGCAAGCGUUAAUCGGAAUUACUGGGCGUAAAGCGCACGCAGGCGGUUGAUUGAGUCAGAUGUGAAAUCCCCGGGCUUAACCCGGGAAUUGCAUCUGAUACUGGUCAGCUAGAGUCUUGUAGAGGGGGGUAGAAUUCCAGGUGUAGCGGUGAAAUGCGUAGAGAUCUGGAGGAAUACCGGUGGCGAAGGCGGCCCCCUGGACGAAGACUGACGCUCAGGUGCGAAAGCGUGGGGAGCAAACAGG
rnacentral:rRNA from 1 species